UAGACAGCAUGGAAAAGUUCAACAUCAUAGAAUCUAAAGACCUGUGUGGACCUGGUCAAGCUGACCAUGUCCAGAGAAAAUGUCCCUUGAAGUAGGUAUAUUUUGAUGGCCACACCAUUGAAAUAUAAGUUACUCUGAUGACAGAAAAGAAGAUACCACUCAUCUUUAUGAUUUCAUCUUGCCUAUGCUAUGGACUGAAUAUAUUUAACCUCGGACAUCUUUAAGAGCCUCGAUGUGUGUUUCCUGGUUGGAGCUAAUGAAUUUAUCAGGUUGCUUACAGUUCAACGGUUAAACAGGGUUCAUUUGAUAAUAAGAUGAAGAAUAGAGCUUUGUCAACUAUAAAGCACCAUGAAAAAUUGAGAAUUAAUAUUUCUACCUUAUGCAUAUAUUCAAGAUGAUCCCUUACUUGGAGAUAAUGGCUCAGAGAGAUUAUUUAAAGAGAAAACUGGAAAUAUUUUGACAUUUUUUAUGUGUUGGGGAUGACAGGAAGCCAAAGAUGUUACAUUUUCAAGGUUAGUGAAUGUGAUUGUGAUGGAGUGAUGGUGUCAUACAUUGAAAAAAGGAUCAUAGGAAAAGAUGUUUUAUUUUGAAAUUGAGAUACAAUUCAUGUAACAAAAUUCAUCCUUUUAAACUACAAAAUUCAGUGGUUUUUGAUAUAUUCACAGAGUUGUGUAACCAUCACCCUAUCUACUUUAGAAUG